CUCCGCUAACGCGCUCUUCUUGGAAGCAGGUUAUAGUAUUUCAGGCCAUUCAAGCACACAAGCACGAUGCUGGCUUACAACAUGGACCUGCAAAAGCAUGACAUCCUCUGCAUAAAAUCCGAGGUAUCUUGCUGCUAGUAAUGAACUUUAUCUUUACAAAGUACUAUGUACAGAUGAAACUCCCUUGUGAAACUUCAUUUGAGGAAGGCCAGAUUAGUGCACAACUGACAAAGGGAAGCCAUGCGUUUUGACAAGAGACUGGGAAGUUUUUAGGAAUAACAAGGAAGAUGUGUGAAGGAAGCAAAGACCAUACCAGUUGUUGAUGUCUUCUGCAGAGCGGUCGCUCCUGGAACCAGUGUGUAGGUUGCUGUCCCAGACAUAGCCAAGCUUCGUCUUCUGUCUGUUUUUCUUCCAUUCUUUCGUCCCUUCCUCUUGCCCUCUCAGAAGCGUCCUGAAGUGAGAUCCAGUGGACACAGAUGUAGAACAGGGGAAGAAAGCUCGCAAUGGCAAGGCGUUGAAGCAAGUGCUGUGUAGGCAGCAGAAGUCCUGAAAUGAUCAAGUAACUCCAGCUGUGUGAGACAGUUGAUGGUCUUAGAGAAUCCCAUCCAACCAAACGAUCCCUUUCUGGAGACUGGUUUGUGCUGCCUGAAAACUGUGGACUGGUUCUCUACUUCGAAUUCCUUACCAAGAACUUCAUUUUUCUUGGCAGGAUGAGAUGUCUGUCCCUGCUCUGGAUCUGUAGCACCAUGGCAUCCCUGCUGUCCACAGACCCUGUGUGGAGGAGUCGCCCCGUGCUCCCUCUGCUGCCUCUCACAUCAAGGACCGAUUCAGCAGCUCUGACCAGGAAAGUGCCUGGUCCCAGCUGCCGUACACAGCUUAGCAGAGGCAGCGCAGAAGCUCCCCGGGCCGACAGCCCAGCUGCACAGAAGUGUACCCCGAGCCCGUCAUCUCCCCCCACUGUGCAGUGGUGGUGACCACGAGGCUUCAGUGCCCCAGGACGGCUCACCUGUGCCCCUGCAAGAGCAGGGCUGUGCCUUACAAAGUCCAGACCAGUGCUACACUGCUCUAGGAGCCCAGGGUCACACAGCACAAGAUUCAUGGCUCUGAUGACCAUCCCUGCUACUCAAGGCAAGAAGACACUAUGCAAAUGAUCCAGCGAGGUUCUCCGGAAGAGGUAGAGGAAUCGCACUGAAAUCUUUACUGGGUUAGAUACGUAGCCUCUAGACAAGGUUGUACUUAACUGCAUUCUCAAUGGACGAGAGGCUGUCACCCUGCCUGGGGGAACGACAAACAAACUGUGAGCUCUGCAGCCUGGCAUUUGGAGGUGGUGUCACUUACCCCUGAGAGUCCUCGGUGUCGCUCUUCGUGUAUUGGUCUCGAAGGGUCCUGGCCAAGAAGAAGAUGACAGCAGAUGCCACAAGAAGGAACCCUGCCACAGAAGCAAUGGCGAUACCCACAACCAGUGGUUCAGACACGUACUCCUCACAGUGCUCCCCUCUGUACCACCAGUUCUCUCCUACACGACACCUGCAAAAAGGAAACACUGGGAAAUCAGACACCAGGAAAAACUCUGACUUCAGUUAACAUAGAUGUAUUUAAUUUCGUCUUAUGACAGUGCCUCAGUUAUCUUAAAAAACAUAUUUGUAUGUUUAAGCACUAACAUUUUGUUAUUAUUACUAUUGUGAACAGCCUUUUUUGUUACUGAGGAUUUUAGUGAAGAGAGGUAGAACAAAAAGGAUAAAGCGUUAGUGAUGGCAAAAAGCCUCUAUUUUUUUGCUAUUUAGAGUAUCCUGCAACGUGUUAAAACUGUAAGGUGUUUAGACCAAGUAAAAAGUUAGGCAGUGAUAGAGACUUGCACAUGAUGUAGCAAACACUGUAAAUGUAGUCUUAAUGAUAUUGUAAUGCAAAUACACAUGAAGGUAUGUUAAUGAGCAGAACGUUUAUUGUAUGCAAACUCCACAGUGAUUAAAUACACAAUGACUAGAAAAA